rnacentral:rRNA from 1 species
UACGAAGGGUGCAAACGUUGCUCGGAAUUAUUGGGCGUAAAGCGCACGUAGGCGGCUUAGCAAGUCGGAUGUGAAAUCCUUCGGCUCAACCAAGGAAGUGCAUCCGAAACUGCUGAGCUUGAGUACGAAAGAGGAUCGCGGAAUUCCCGGUGUAGAGGUGAAAUUCGUAGAUAUCGGGAGGAACACCAGUGGCGAAGGCGGCGAUCUGGGUCGAUACUGACGCUGAGGUGCGAAAGCGUGGGGAGCGAACAGG